rnacentral:rRNA from 1 species
AACGAACGUUGGCGGCGUGGAUUAGGCAUGCAAGUCGCGGGAAUCCCAGCAAUGGGGGAACCGGCGUAAGGGGCAGUAAUGCGUGGGUACCUACCCCGGGGUCCGGGAUAGCCGUCCGAGAGGGCGGGUAAUACCGGAUGACCUCGGGAGAGCAAAGCUCCGGCGCCCCGGGAGGGGCCCACGUGAUAUUAGCUAGUUGGUGAGGUGACGGCUCACCAAGGGGGAGAUGUCUAGCGGGUGUGAGAGCACGACCCGCGCCACUCGCACUGAGACACUGGCGAGACACCUACGGGUGGCUGCAGUCGAGGAUCUUCGGCAAUGCGCGCAAGCGCGACCGAGCGACGCCGCGUGGGCGAUGAAGGCCUUCGGGUUGUAAAGCCCUGUCGAGGGGGAGAAAAGCGGGAAACCGUGUGAUCUAUCCCUGGAGGAAGCUCGGGCUAAGUUCGUGCCAGCAGCCGCGGUAACAC